CCUACGGGAGGCAGCAGUGGGGAAUAUUGCACAAUGGGGGCAACCCUGACCGAGCAACGCCGCGUGAGUGAAGAAGGUUUUCGGAUCGUAAAGCUCUGUUGUAAGAGAAGAACGGAUGUGGGAGUGGAAAAUCCAUGUCGUGACGGUAUCUUACCAGAAAGGGACGGCUAACUACGUGCCAGCAGCCGCGGUAAUACGUAGGUC
rnacentral:rRNA from 1 species